rnacentral:lncRNA from 1 species
UGGCAGGCAGUGCUUUUCAGCUAAAGGUCAGCGCUCGCCGCUCACUUUACUGACAAAGGGUAAAGAUGGCCGCAGCCGCCGCGUCAGCAUCCAACAUGGCACCAGUUUGAAAGUUAGGAGGCGACACCUGUGAGACAAGUAGGUCUGGCUGGCGUAACCUGCCUUGUCUAGUCGCUCUUCUGUGUUGUCGCCACUCGCCACGUACGUACAACUGUAAGCUGAAAUCACUCUUGCUGCUAAAAACAUACUUUGGAGUUGGUCAUGGUCUUAACUCUUAAGUG